GUGGGGAAUAUUGGGCAAUGGGCGAAAGCCUGACCCAGCAACGCCGCGUGAAGGAAGAAGGUCUUCGGAUCGUAAACUUCUAUCCUUGGUGAAGAUAAUGACGGUAGCCAAGAAGGAAGCCCCGGCUAACUACGUGCCAGCAGCCGCGGUAAUACGUAGGGGGCAAGCGUUGUCCGGAAUGAUUGGGCGUAAAGGGCGCGUAGGCGGCCCGGUAAGUCUGAAGUGAAAGUCCUGCUUUUAAGGUGGGAAUUGCUUUGGAUACUGUCGGGCUUGAGUGCAGGAGAGGUAAGCGGAAUUCCCGGUGUAGCGGUGAAAUGCGUAGAGAUCGGGAGGAACACCAGUGGCGAAGGCGGCUUACUGGACUGUAACUGACGCUGAGGCGCGAAAGUGUGGGGAGCAAACAGGAUUAGAUACCCUUGUAGUCC
rnacentral:rRNA from 1 species